rfam:Oryza brachyantha chromosome 6, whole genome shotgun sequence.
AAUAAGAUCAUUUUUCAGUUUUUUAUACAAUAUUUUGACUCUUCGUCUUAUUUAAAAUUUUUUGCGAUUAAUAUUUUUAUUCUUACUAGAUAAUAAAACAUGAAUAAUACUUUAUGUGUGACUAUUUUUUAAAUUUUUAUACAAAUUUUUCAAAUAAGACGAAUGGUCAAACGUUGAACACGGAAAAACGAAAAAUGAAGUUAUU